UGCCGUUACGUAUAUAAAUAGCUAUUAUAUAUAGAUUCCUACACUGCAAAAAGUGUAUUACGAUAGUUCUUCACUCGACACAGUUAAAUUUUAUUAUUUAAAGCGCGAGGCUUGCCGAGAGUGGAGAGAUAUCGUAAUACACGAGUUUAAGUGUCGGAAUGUGUUUCUCUGAUGACUUUAAUCAUUCCUUUUUCAAAGAUUUUUAGAACUUGUGUUCUUUAUAUGCGAC
rnacentral:lncRNA from 1 species